ACAAUACUGUAGCAUAUUUUUCAUAGGAAUAGUAUCUAUGUUGGAGGACGAUAUUGUAAAUAUACAAGAGAACUACCCCAGACACCCUGGCUUAUAAAUGGUGUUCGGAAAUGUGAAACAAGCGUGGAGGAAAUUAUUGGAGAUAGAUUAAAGGUAU